rnacentral:lncRNA from 1 species
GUUAGUUUCUGCUACCACUUAAGUGUUAAUAGCUAAUAAUAGAGCAAGCUUGAUUACUACCUUGGUGUCCUAAAACGGAUGUUGGCCUGCCAGGGAGCAGCCAAGGUGAAGUUUUCAACCAGGCCGACCAACUUCAGAGUCCACUGGCUUCAAAACAGUGCUUUACAUCCUCCUUCCAACAUUAUUCACAAGCCGAUCAAGACUGAGAGAGUCACAAGUGUGUGAAACCUGUAUUCUUUCUGACUUCAUUUUCCCUGGGAACCUCAAAGAAUUCAAAUAUGCUACUUAGUAUACACACUAAUGUUUGCUCACCCUUUGAGCAUAAGCUCAAAUUUUAUUGUGGCUUAUCUUCUCCAAAAAAUGGGUCGAAAUUUUUGUAGAAUAGACAAAUCAAGAAUGAUGACUUCUUAAGAUGCAGUAUUCAAGUUCAGAAAUCUAUACUCAGAUGACCUUAUGUAGGUCAUCUGCUUCUGAGGUUUAUCUCACCAGUGUUUUAUGUGAAGAACUGCAGUAAUGAAUUCUGAAUUUGUUCAAAUCAUUGAAGAUGUGUGAAGACAAAACAUUCACUCAAAUCUCUAUCAUGUUAGCAUGUUAUUUAUCAUUGCUCUGUUCUUCAUUGUUGAAUAAUGCAAUUGAGUUAAAAAGAAUAAACAUUAUUUACCGAAGACUCAUAAAAAAAAA